AACGAACGCUGGCGGCAGGCCUAACACAUGCAAGUCGAGCGCUCACCUUCGGGUGGGAGCGGCGCACGGGUGAGUAACACGUGGGAACCUACCUUGAAGUACGGAAUAACUGAGGGAAACUUCAGCUAAUACCGUAUACGCCCUACGGGGGAAAGAUUUAUCGCUUCAGGACGGGCCCGCGUUGGAUUAGCUGGUUGGUGAGGUAAUGGCCCACCAAGGCAACGAUCCAUAGCUGAUUUGAGAGAAUGAUCAGCCACACUGGGACUGAGACACGGCCCAGACUCCUACGGGAGGCAGCAGUGGGGAAUAUUGGACAAUGAGCGGAAGCCUGAUCCAGCCAUGCCGCGUGAGUGAUGAAGGCCUUCGGGUUGUAAAGCUCUUUCAGAUGGGACGAUGAUGACGGUACCAUCAGAAGAAGCCCCAGCUAACCUCGUGCCAGCCGCCGCGGUAACAC
rnacentral:rRNA from 1 species